GAUAACAGGCUGAUACCGCCCAAGAGUUCAUAUCGACGGCGGUGUUUGGCACCUCGAUGUCGGCUCAUCACAUCCUGGGGCUGAAGUAGGUCCCAAGGGUAUGGCUGUUCGCCAUUUAAAGUGGUACGCGAGCUGGGUUUAGAACGUCGUGAGACAGUUCGGUCCCUAUCUGCCGUGGGCGCUGGAGAACUGAGGGGGGCUGCUCCUAGUACGAGAGGACCGGAGUGGACGCAUCACUGGUGUUCGGGUUGUCAUGCCAAUGGCACUGCCCGGUAGCUAAAUGCGGAAGAGAUAAGUGCUGAAAGCAUCUAAGCACGAAACUUGCCCCGAGAUGAGUUCUCCCUGACUCCUUGAGAGUCCUGAAGGAACGUUGAAGACGACGACGUUGAUAGGCCGGGUGUGUAAGCGCAGCGAUGCGUUGAGCUAACCGGUACUAAUGAACCGUGAGGCUUAACCUUACAACGCCGAAGCUGUU
rnacentral:rRNA from 1 species